UUUUGGAACUUUCGUUCCUGAGAAAGCAAAGCAACGCCUGUAGAGAGAGGAUGGCGAUUUCUUCUUCUCCGUUCUCCUUCUUCUUCUCUUUUUGGAAUUGGAACCCUACGGCUGCCUCCUUUAACUUCUCCGUCACCAAUCACGUUUGACUUCGGCCGCAACUGGCAAUCGUUACCGGCGAAUCUUCAUCUAAGGUUCAACAACCCCCAGCCCCCUUCCUCUUCUCUGCCUCUGUUCCAAUAAAUUGUAGCGGUGGACACACUUAGUUCCUGUUUCUCCUCCGUCUCCGUUCUUCCAGCGGCGGGAACACUUUCUUCUUCCAGAUUCCAGCGUUAGAGCUUCAUAUUUUAUCAGGUAUACAUACGUUUUUCUCUUUAGCCCUGUGAAAUCGAUCAUAGAGGGAAGACAGGAACCAUGUAGAGAUAGUAUAUUUUCAGGUGCUGUCAUGAUGCAUGAGGUAUUGAAUGGGCAUGCUAACAGAUGCUAUGAAGAGUUUAGGAUGGAACGUCAUGUCUUCCUCAAUCUAUGUGAUUAUGUUAGACAUAGGGGUUGGUUAAAAGACAUGACCAACAUCUGAGUGGAUGAACACCUUGGAAUGUUCCUGUGGAUUGUUGGGAAGGGUUUAAGUAAUAAGGACACCCAAAAUCAUUUCAACCACUCCAGAGAAACAGUAAGUCAAACAUUCAAUAUUGUCUUGAUUGCAAUGCAACGCCUGGCUAAGGUGAAGAUCAUACCGCCAAACAUCAGUAUGAUACCGACAAAGAUUGCACAGAAAUCGAAAUACUACCCUUUUUACAAGGUAAAUCUGUUAAUAUGAUACAUGUUUGUAAUUAAAUAUUUGAAUAUUUAUAUUCUUAUAUGUAGUGACCAUUUAAUUGUCACUAUAUGUCAUAGCACUGUAUUGGCGUCAUAGAUGGUACUCACAUCCAUGCGAUAGUUCCAAGAGGAUCAAAUUCGAUAUAGGAAUCGGAAGGGGAUCACAACUCAAAAUGUGAUGUGUGCAUGUUCAUUUGACAUGCGAUUCACAUAUGUGUAUGCGGGAUGGGAAGGUAGUGCAAAUGAUUGUCGAGUACUUGAACAGGCAAGGAGUGCUCCUCAAUUGAGUUUUUCACAUCCACCUCCAGGAAAGUAUUAUGUUAUUGACUCUGGAUAUGCUAGUCAAUCUGGAUUUUUGACACCAUUUAGGGGUAAGAGGUACCAUCUACAGGACUACAAAGGGUGUAGAAGAUCCCCAAGAACAGCAAAAGAGUUGUUUAAUUAUAGACAUUCAUCACUUUGGAAUGUCAUUGAACGUACAUUUGGGGUAUUGAAGAACAAAUUUCUAAUUUUAAGGCUAAUGCACCAGUUCCCAGUGAAAGCUCAGGCAUCAUCGUACUGGCAUGUUGUGGUUACACAACUAUAUUCGAGAAGAGCUUAUUGCUGAUGCUAAAUUCGUGGAGAUGAGUGAUGAUUUAAAAGUUGCAGAAGAUGACUUGAAUCCACCACAUGAAGAUUUCGUUGAUCAUUCUACAGCACAAUCUA